GGUGUUGUCUUGGGCGUAUACCCAGGAGUGGAUUCCUCGGAUCACAGGGCAUACUCAGGUUUAGCUUUAGUAGUUACCCGGUAGACAUAGAUUUCAUUGUGAAUAAUUAACUGGCUGGUGAAUCAUUCCACUGGACCCUCAUGGCUCCUGGGUAAAUGAAAAGUUCAGCUUCUGGAAGCCUCAGGACUGAGAAUCAUCCGUUUAUUACAAUCCUUGCACCCCUGGGGUGGCAGGCACAAGCUUGCUGCAGGAGGUGGUCUACUUGGUGAGCCAGGGGGCCGACCCCGACGAGAUCGGCUUGAUGAACAUCGACGAGCAGCUCCCGGUCUUGGAGUACCCGCAGCCGGGCCUGGACGUCAUCAAGGAGCUGACGUCUCCCCGUCUCAUCAAAAGCCACCUGCCCUACCGCUUCCUGCCCUCCGACCUCCACAACGGUGAUUCCAAGGUCAUAUACAUGGCUCGGAACCCCAAGGACCUGGUGGUGUCCUAUUACCAGUUCCACCGCUCCCUGCGGACCAUGAGCUACCGAGGCACUUUCCAGGAGUUCUGCCGGAGGUUCAUGAAUGAUAAACUGGGCUACGGCUCCUGGUUCGAGCACGUGCAGGAGUUCUGGGAGCACCGCAUGGACUCGAAUGUGCUUUUCCUCAAGUACGAAGACAUGCAUCGGGACCUGGUGACGAUGGUGGAGCAGCUGGCCAGGUUCCUCGGGGUGUCCUGCGACAAGGCCCAGCUGGAGUCCCUGAUCGAGCACUGCCACCAGCUGGUGGACCAGUGCUGCAACGCCGAGGCUCUGCCUGUGGGCCGGGUUUUGUUUUCUCUGUCUUUUGUUGUCCUCGGAUGUGAGCUUCUCCCCGACACCCCUGCGGUUCGUUUGUGUGGUAAGGGGCGUCCUGAGCGUCCUGCGGUAGCGCCGUGGGCUCCUUCUGACGUGUCUGCUUUAUCAUUGUUUCUCUUGGUUUCGCUUCAUUUCAGUUUCGGUUUUGUUUUCUUUUAGCACAUUGCCUCUUUGCUCAGAAGACCUCCUUGCGUUGGUGAGGAUGCAGGGGCUUGAGUAGCCAGCUGCAUUGCUUAAAUUUGAUUCAUGUCCCAGCAUAAAUUGCACUGUCUUGAUUCCAAAUCCUAAACCAGGUGGGUGACUCCUUUGAUGAGCUCUCAGCUGCCUCAGCUGAGAAAAAUAAUCAUGAAAAAAUAUAUUUAUAGUGUGCUUGGUCUAGAAGCUUCUAAUUUUGUCCCUUAAGUAUCAUUAGAGGGUAGCAAGAACAAUUCUCCUUGUUUUUUUUUUCUCUCCAACACUGACAUAUAAUUUUUCAUUAUCAAAGAGGAAAUCCUUGCGCUGGGUGUAUCAGCGCAGCACUCGCAGGGUGGUAAUUUUAUACCUGAGGUCCUGCCAGGACAAGGACGACUGUUACUAACGGAGCAGUGAAGGGUGUUUGCUGGAGACGGUCGGAGCUCUGGUCGCAGAGAUGCUGACGGUGAAAAGAAUCCUAAAUGAGCAUUUCAGCGCCCCAGGUGGUUCCUGAAAACCUCGGGCAGCCCUCGGGGGGACGUGUUCACAGCUCCCGCAGGUGGGAGAGCAGAAGCCUGCUGCUGCCUCUUCAUGGUCGCCACUUGUGUUUGACCAGACUGGCUGAAGGUUUUGUAGUUAACGAGGAAAGAGGGCUCAGUGGCUUUUGGGGUCAUUUUGAGCGCCCUCUUUUUCCCUGAGCCUUCGUAAGUGAACGGUGGACCUGUGCCUGCACAUUAGCCUGCAGGCUCCGUGCUCCUUCACUUCUGCCAGGAAGGGUCUCAUUUUCUGACCAAGCCUCCCUGUGCUGUCACUGUGCCAGCAGCGGGGAUCACCCGUGACUUGCGUCGGUGUGCAGUCCCGGAGUCCUGCCACGGCCACGUUGGGCAUCUGGUCGUGAAGGCUCCUUUACACCGUGACCAUUUUAUUCCCUUUAACUUUCUCCCCAUGUUGCAUGGGCAGGCUUCCCGAAAUCUUCGCCCUGGACCUGCUCAGGAGGCUUCCUACUCGCCAUAAAAUGUUCUGCCUUUUUGGCUGAUUUUUUUUCCUUUUUGAAUUCUCCAGAAGCAAAUGCCGCCUUGGUGGAGCUGUUGCGCUGUGAGUGAGUGGUGGUGUCCCAGAGGACCCAGAUCCACAUGAUGCUCAGAGCCAUAGACCCGUUGCCCAGACGCUGUCUGUCCUCCGGGCCUGUGAGCCACCCGCUGUGUGCCUUGUGCUGGGGACUCAGCCGUGCCCCAGAGUUUGUCCCGCGUGGGACAAGGGGUGAAGGCCCUCCUCGCGGCCUCAGCUCUGUGCAUUCGUGGUGCUGGCCUCACCACGCAGGAAAGGGCAUGAGGACAGCUCGACUCAGGAAGCGGGUUCAGCUCGUCUAGGAAGAGUGGGGCUGUGGAAGGACAUCUUCACCGUCUCCAUGAACGAGAAGUUUGACCUGGUGUAUAAACAGAAGAUGGGGAAGUGCGACCUCAUGUUUGACUUCUAUUUAUAAUGACGCCAACAGCGAACCUGC